ensembl:misc_RNA 7SK 7SK RNA
GGAUGUGAGGGUGAUCUGCCUGCGACAUCUGUCACCCCACUGAUCACCAGGGUUGAGUCGGCUGAUCUGGCUGGCUACGCAGGCAUCCCCUUCCUCCCUCUCCGCUCCAUGUGCGUCCCUCCCACAGCUGUGCACUUGGGCAAAGAGGACGACCAUCCCCGCUAGAGGAGGAGUGGUCUUCAGUCAAGGGUAUAUGAGUACCUGUGCUCCUAUGCUGGAACCUGCAAACAAGCUCUCAAGAAUAAACAUUGCAGGAACAGAAACUGUAGACUUGAAAACCCAGGCAUAAAUCUUCAUGAUCUUGGAUUUAGCAAUGGUUUGUCUAAG